rnacentral:rRNA from 1 species
UACGAGUGCCCCAAGCGUUAUCCGGAAUUAUUGGGCGUAAAGGGUGUGUAGGUGGUUGUGUUAGUCUCAUGUCAAAUUCUUCGGCUUAACCGGGGUACCGCAUGGGAUACGGCACAACUAGAGGAUGCGAGGGGUGAAUGGAACUCAUGGAGUAGGGGUGAAAUCCGUUGAUAUCAUGGGGAACACCGAAAGCGAAGGCAGUUCACUGGCGCACUCCUGACACUGAAACACGAAAGCGUGGGUAGCGAAUGGG